rnacentral:tRNA from 1 species
GGAGAGUUGGCAGAGCGGCUGAUUGCGGCAAGUUGCUAGCUUGUUGGCUGGUUAAUUCCGGCCCGUGGGUUCGAAUCCCACACUCUCCUCCA